AAUAAUAUGUGGAACAAUAUAUAGGAAAAAGGUAUUGUUAUAAAUUUGAUCGUAAAUAAGAUAUGAAAAACUUAAAUCUCAUAUGAGAUAUUUUACCGGAGAAAUUGAAAUACCGACCGGGUAAAACAGUCAGUGGAUCCAUAGGAUUUUUCCACCGCUUGCAAUUCAAAGCGUUCAAGAAUAGAAGUGAUUAUGUAGCGAAAUCAUACAGAAUAACGCUAUAAACAAUUAAAAUAAUCUAAAGUUAUACAAAAGUGUCAUUCCGAGGUUAUGAUUUGCUCUAUAUCAAGGAAACGUCACUUCGAUAUCAUAUUUAUACGUAUAUAAGCGUAUAGAAACGCAAGGUGUAUGAUCUCGUAAAAUUUCAAACUAACCUAAAACAGGGGAACAGUAUAUGUUUUCCUUUAGGAAAAUAUUCAGGUCAGGGUGCUACCUGAGCGCUCAAAGUAAGGGCGCGUACUACUGCAAAAGGAUUUCAGAUACAUACGCAGGUCGGACGUUUUAUUACAGUUUUCAUCCGCAGAUUAGCCCCUUUGGAACCAUCGAUACUCGAUUCAGGAACUUUAUAGCCCCCCAUAAAAGUAUCUAUUUGGUGUUUUCGACUGGACCGACUGGACCGAAACGCAACUCGAACAAAAAGCUAUCCCCCGGAAUUUCUCGGUUUGUGAGGAAAAUAGCAGGAAAAUAUCGUAACCGCAAGAGAUAGAAAAGAAACACAGCGAAUAGGACGAAAAACGGAUAAAAUAGACUAAAGCGAAGUCAAGUAAACUAAUGAUGACGAACAAACAUAUCAAGAGGAAAAGUACACGUAAACAUAAACAAUAUUUAGAAGAAGACUGUUCAAAAGAACAAGGAUAUAAAAUCAUAAUACAACAUAAAAAAGGAAUACGCAAGAAAUAAUACAUAUAUGUAUAUACAAAAAGAAAUGAAGAACGAAAAAAAAAAACAAAUAUGACGAGUAGAAGAUGGAGGACAGAGAAGAGAGGGAACGAGUACUUGGUAGCGUGUAAGCCAGCAGGGGUUGGUUUCAGGGGAUGAAGCGUGGUCGGGGUUGGACAUCGAUCUGGUAGUUAAGUUGAGGGCUCCCAUGGGACUCGUUGCCACCUUCGCAGCUUCGUCUCGUCUUGCUUUAUUUGCCCCCUUUCUCAGUAUUCACUGAAUACACACUUUGGAAUCGGUUACCGCGUUGCCUGGCCAUUCGCAUAAACCGCAUUACACGUUUUUAUGCUUGUAUUUAUGUAUGAUCUAACGAGAGCCAUUCGAGAGCCGUCGUCGAGACAAACCAAGGAACUUUUCUGUAUCGCAAACAAAUCGUCAGGUCGUAAAUGAUACGUUACCAUUCUACAGAUUUGACGAUCUCCAAGAGCGUUUCACGAUCGAAAAUUGACCUUGUUGAAUUUUAGUAGAAUUCCAGUAAUUACCGGUCGUUAACGAUUUGUAUUUCUAACUUAUUUAUAACGUAUUUGCAAAUUCCCGUUAACAAGCAAUAUAUAAAUGAGUACAAGCUCAAAUAUCGCGUCAGUCGUGUGCCAAGAGUGUACAAACAUGUUUCUUGUAACAUACGAUCGUUUUUAUAUCAAUUUAAAGGUGUACAUGUAUUACAUUCUACAUUUUAUGACCCUGAUCUUCGAGUUUUAAUAUAACGGAAUUUAAUAGUUUUAGAGAAGAGACUAUUAAUCUAUACGACAAUCGUUAAAAAUGAAUGGUCCUAUAUAAAUUGGUCUGAAAAGAAACAAAUAUUUGGACUACGCAAUUGAUUACAAGCUUGCAAACACUCUUAAAAGUACACGGACCGAUGAACUCAAAACGUGUAGCAGUAAAGCCAGCAUAAAACGCGUUAACACGAAAAGAGUGGAAAAAGGGACGAGAAGAAAAACAAGUCCAGACGCGGAUUCUCGAGAUGGUAAUAAAAAUGAAGGAUUAAAAUUGGCCAUGAUCAGAAACAACAAUACAUGCUAACUUUUCUUAUGUUCUAAGGCAUGUUUCACCUACGUAGAAUCUGAAGAAUCUGAAGAAUUUGAAGAAUUUCAAGAAUCCU